UACGUAGGGUGCGAGCGUUAAUCGGAAUUACUGGGCGUAAAGCGUGCGCAGGCGGUUCGUUAAGUUCGUUGUGAAAGCCCCGGGCUCAACCUGGGAACUGCAAUGGAAACUGGCGGGCUUGAGUGUGGCAGAGGGGGGUGGAAUUCCGCGUGUAGCAGUGAAAUGCGCAGAUAUCAGGAGGAACACCGGUGGCGAAGGCGGAUCUCUGGGCCUUACCUGACGCUGAGGAGCGAAAGCAUGGGGAGCAAACAGG
rnacentral:rRNA from 1 species